rnacentral:rRNA from 1 species
AGCAGCCGCGGUAAUUCCAGCUCCAAUAGCGUAUAUUAAAGUUGUUGCAGUUAAAAAGCUCGUAGUUGAAUUUCGAGAUCAGUACGCUGGUCGUGCCUUCGGUAUGCACUGGUGUCACUGGUUUCUCCCUUCUGAAGAACCGUCAUGUCAUUAAGUUGGUGUGGCGGGGAAUCAGGACUGUUACUUUGAAAAAAUUAGAGUGUUUAAAGCAGGCUCGUGCUUGAAUACAUUAGCAUGGAAUAAUGAAAUAGGACGUUUGACCCUAUUUUGUUGGUUUCUAGGAUCGACGUAAUGAUUAAUAGGGAUAGUUGGGGGCAUUAGUAUUCAAUUGUCAGAGGUGAAAUUCUUGGAUUUAUUGAAGACUAACUACUGCGAAAGCAUUUGCCAAGGAUGUUUUCAUUAAUCAAGAACGAAAGUUAGGGGAGUCGAAGACGAUUAGAUACCGUCGUAGUCUUAACCAUAAACUAUGCCGACUAGGGAUCGGAUGAUGUUAAUUUUAAUGUACUCAUUCGGCUACCG